CCUUUAGGACUGCCGCCACACCCGCUCCCCACACCAAGCCCAUGCUCCAGACUCUCUUUGCGACAUUGGUGUCUCUGUGUGUGUGCACACGUAUGUGCGUUCUUGUGGGCACACAAGCUCACAUGCAUGUCAGGAUCAGAGGUCAACCUCCAGUGUUAUUUCUUCAGGACUCACUGCUGUUUUUGAGAGCAUCUCUCAGUGGUCCAGGACUCACCAGUCAGGCUAGGCUGGCUAUGCAGAGCAUCCCAGGAAUCCUGUUGCCUCUGCUUCCUUGGGGUUACAAGCAUGCCCCCACCCCUGACUUUUUAGGCGUGUGUUGGGUCAAACUCAGAGCUUUGUGCUUUCGUAGCAACAUUUUUCCUGAUUAUCUCCCAUCCCCUGGUUUUGGUGUAUUUUAAAAAUGUUCCUCUGGUUUAUGAACCUGGGAUGAAAAUUACUUUCUUUGGGGACAGAAAUCUCCUCUUUCUCAGGGCAAGGAGAAUAAGGGAACAAUAGGACUCCCAGGUAAUACUGACUGGGGAAUCAUGCUCUGUCACACAACCUGAGCCUUGAGCAUCUUGCUGCCUGCCACACUCCCCUUUCUGGGUGGUUCCUUCCCUGACCCAAUCUGAAGAGGUAACCCUGGACCUUGAAAGGGACCCAAAGAUUGUAGUAAAGUUACAGAACCAAGAGAUCAUGGGGGAAUGAAUGGGUUUGAGAUGGCAGAGUUGAUGUUGCUGCUGCUGCUGGUGAUGGCGGUGGGUUUCUUUUAGUUUUUGUUUUUUAAUUGAAUAGACCAAAUUGUUACCUAUAGUGUGCUUCUGUUCCCCCAGAGAGUUAGCAGCACACCAUGACUAUCUGCUGCCAGAUACAGCUGAGUCAUUCUUUCCAGCUCUCCAAAGCCAGGACACUUUGGUUGAAUUCUCCGUGGGGGAGGUGAAGUAGAUCUGGUUCUUCAGAAAGGAAUUCAAGUUACACAAACCGAUGUGUGUUCAUGCUCUGUUGCUCUGUUUCAGUUACAAAGAAAGAAGAGUGUGUGCCUGCUUCCAAAUGGUGCUUCCAGCUCUGGGGCCUCGCUCCUGGCUGCUCCUCACCCGUCUCACCCAGAGACAGGCUCGGUGCUGGUGACUCAGAGGCUGCUCCAUGGAAGGCAGACUCUAGGGAGCAUUGGGAACUGAUUAGUUGGUGGCUGGGUGUGAGCUUGGGGCUUCUGUGAAUGGCCCAGUGCUGCACAGAAGUUCAGUUUCACACGCCGGAACAAAUGGGUCUUUUGUGAAUAAUAACUGACCUUUGUUUCCUGGUCUCCCCCAGCCCCUCCUUCCUUCAUGCUGGCCCCAGCCAGGAUCCUGGGUGCUCCUGCCUGGACUUGCCAAUGGGAUUGGACAUCUCUACCCCAUAGUAGGGCUGGGAUGGGAGAUGUUGGAGAAGGGCCACUGUCUUUGUGAACGAUGGUCUGCACUGUGUCGGAAUAACUUUUAAGAUCUGAUGCCCUGGCCAGAAAGGCUGGUACAGAGGACCUGCCUGCUCUCUCAGCUCUGGCUAAGUUCCUGACAAAAUAAGAGUCCUUUCUCUCUCUUCCAAUUUCUGCUGAAACAGCAAAGAUGGCAGCAGCAGCAGCAGCAGCAGCAGCAGCAGCAGCAGCAGCAAUGAUUCCAAAACUCAAGAGCAUCUGCCCUACCUCAUUUGCUGGGAUCUAUUAAUCUCUUACAAUAGCCAGCAGCUAACCCAUCUGGCAGACACCUGGUCUUGAUUUAAUUAACUGGAGAAUUGAAAGAAAGGAGGAAAUGAGAUCCUUUCCUACACCACAUACCUGGAGGUGAGGUGCCUUGUUAAGCAAGGGGGGAGAUGCUUGCUCUGCAGGCUCUUCAGAAUAUCUAAGGAAAAAAUGGACAGGAUUAAGAGGCUCUUUUGAACAGUGGUACAUCUCCGAUAGGUUCUAAGGACCUGUAGCCUCAGAGGAGAGCAAAUUUAACUUGCCUCUCUGGGGCUGUGGGGCACCUGUGACCUCAGCCUUAAUGAGCAUCAUAUGUUCAAUAGCAUUCAAAACCACAAGGGCCUGCUGCAGGCACCCACAUCAACCCAUUGACACAUGCCUGCAAGCUCUUCUGUGGAGAAGGACAGGGCCAGGGCAGCACGGGCUACAAACUGCCCGUGUCUUCAUUCACAUUUGCAUCCCACAGAUGUUAAAACCUACUAUGGAGGGAGUUCCUCUGGGAAGACAUAAAGAACUACCUAGAGUAUCUGUUAACCUCCGAUAGAAAGGGUACCAACAGACCAAAGAGUUCCCCGAAGACCAGCUUGGUGAACAGAGGGAUUUGUUGGGGUUAUUUACAGGAUCUCGAGUGAUUCCGGGGUAGCCACACCACUCAAGAGGCCCACCCAGAGCAUGAAAAACCCAGAAACUACAUCUCUGAAGACCUACUGCUUACCGGGAGAAGCAGGGCCUCACAAGGAUCCCAGGAUGGAAUGAAAAUAGGCCAGAUGUCACGAGGGUCUCCUGUGGAUAACUACAGGUGCUCUGACUCAAGGCAGAGAUGGCCAUGUCCACCGUGGAGAAGAAGAGAGCUAAGAUAGCUUAGGCCUCAGGGUGAUAAAGGCACGACAUGGAGGCUUGGUAGUUCGGAGCGUUCAGCAAGAUUUUGUGUGGAUGUGCAACCACGUCAUUCACACAAAGACUUACCUUCCAGCUGUUAACGAGCCGAGCCGGGAUAACCUUCGGGCCUCAGUUACUACAUCUGUCCUUAGGGUUCACACUCCUCUUUCAAGGUCAAUUCAGUGCUGCCUCCUUUGGGAGCUUCUUCAGGUGUCUCUGUCUUCGGCUCACACAGAGGGCUUCCUCCAGCUCAGUUGAAAUGAAAUCAUACCACAUAUUACUUCAUGCUUCUUCUCCUUUGCUCACGCAGUUCCUUGUGAGCAUGGACUAGAUGAGGCCUUGUUGGCUUCCGUAUACCCCGCUGAGAUUUUUUCCCCCCAGGCAGGCAUGUGUAGGGGUGGUCCUCUACCUCUGCAUCUUCUCUGGGCCCUGGAGUUUCAAAUUCUGUGCAUUCUCUCCUUCUAGUUUUGAGUUCUCACAACAUUCCGAGUCUUUUCUCUGGGUGUACUUCCUAGGUCACUCCGCUCUGGAACAGUUAACAUCCUCCCCUGUUCUGGAUAUUCUAGGGGUUUCAGUGCAGCUAGGACCACACCGCUACAUUCAUAACUCCAUACCAUUGGGUCACAAGCAAGAUUUUGCUGAAAGGACCCUGAUAUAGCUGUCUCUUGUGAGGCUAUGCCGGUGCCUGGCAAAC